rnacentral:rRNA from 1 species
GACAGAGGUGCCAAGCGUUAGGCGGAAUCACUGGGCUUAAAGCGUGCGCAGGCGGUUUGUUAAGUCCGCUGUGAAAUCCCCGAGCUCAACUUGGGAAUUGCAGUGGAUACUGGCAAGCUGGAGUAUGGUAGAGGAAGGUGGAAUUCCCGGUGUAGCAGUGAAAUGCGUAGAGAUCGGGAGGAACACCAGUGGCGAAGGCGGCCUUCUGGACCAAUACUGACGCUCAUGCACGAAAGCGUGGGGAGCAAACAGG